rnacentral:rRNA from 1 species
CAAUAUAAGUGAUGGCGACCGGCGCACGGGUGAGUAACACGUAUCCAACCUGCCGAUAACUCGGGGAUAGCCUUUCGAAAGAAAGAUUAAUACCCGAUGGUAUAAUAAAACCGCAUGGUUUAAUUAUUAAAGAAUUUCGGUUAUCGAUGGGGAUGCGUUCCAUUAGGCAGUUGGUGAGGUAACGGCUCACCAAACCUUCGAUGGAUAGGGGUUCUGAGAGGAAGGCCCCCACAUUGGAACUGAGACACGGUCCAA